AAUCAUCUUCCAUUGU
rnacentral:sRNA from 1 species